UAAAGGAGCUCAAAUGGAUCCCACUGGCUCUACUUUUUUGGGAUUGGACGAUAACAGAUUGUGUAGGUGGGAUAUGCGUGAUCGAAAUGGUAUGGUGCAGAAUCUUGCAAAUGAAAGUACACCUGUAUUGAACUGGGCUCAAGGGCAUCAGUUUUCGAGAGGGACUAAUUUUAACUGCUUUGCAAGUACUGGUGAUGGAUCAAUCGUGGUUGGAUCACUUGAUGGGAAGAUUAGACUGUACUCUAUCAAUUCUAUGAGGCAGGCGAAGACUGCAUUUCCAGGGCUUGGUUCUCCAAUUACUCAUGUGGACGUGACCUUUGACGGGAAGUGGAUAUUAGGGACAACUGAUACCUAUUUGAUUCUCAUAUGCACUCUAUUCACUGACAAGGAUGGGAAGACCAAGACCGGUUUCUCUGGUCGUAUGGGGAAUAGGAUCUCAGCUCCAAGAUUGUUAAAGCUCACUCCUUUGGAUUCACACAUGGCAGGAGUGAACAACAAAUUUCGCAAGGCUCAAUUCUCUUGGGUAUUCCUUUUGAUUUUCUCCAUAUUGUGCUGCCUGCUUAGAUGAUUACUUUUGAGUCUUGGUUCAGAAAGAGUUAUUGUUUGCCUAAUUUGCUCAUAUAUGAUAGUAUAAGAGUGAACUGCUUAGUCCGCUCAAAAGCCUGUUGUUGCUUAUGUUUUACAUGGUAACUGUAUACUCCUAUUAUUAGCUUUUCCUUGCUUGUAGUUAAUUAUGCGAUAUUAUUACUCACGGAAACUAUUAAUUUGAAAAGUCAAUCACUUUCUCAUAUUAUUGAACUUGAAAUUCCAACUGUCAUAAUAGAUUAACAUGUUGUAGUUGCCUUGAUUUUUCAAUAUAUGCAUGGAUAGGAUCUUGAAUCUUCCGUUUUUGAGUUCAUGAAAAUUUUAAGAAGGUGAUGUUCAAGCUCUUUUGGGUAUGUCCAUUCAAUAGAGGUAAAAAAACAGAGAGAUAUAUGUUGGCUAUUCCAUUAAUCAUGUCUUCACUCUGUCUUACUUAUGUUUGCCUGUAAACAUAGUAUAAAUGUUAUGUCAUAUUUUGUGUACUUGCGAUCCGCAAUCUAAAAUGCAGUUGGCAAUAACAAUAUGGAGGCCAAUCCGCUAAUCGUGUCUUUACACUGUCUUAUUUAUGUUUAGCUCUGAAAAGGUGGUAUAAAACCUAUUGCAUAUUUUGUAUAGUUGCAAUGUAUAAUCUAAAAUGUAGUUGACAAGAAAAACUGAAAGGCAGUGAAAACGUUUGUCACUUUUUAGCUUUCUGUGAAGUUUACAUGAACAUUGUCUUUUCCUGGCAAUGUUAUAAUGUUAUUGUAGAUCAGAAUACUUCUGCUGCAAUCCUACUUUUUUAUUGUCUAAAGUUUCAAUGGAUGGAAACUGAUUUCCAGUUUUAAUGGAUGUAUGUUCCCAUGUAUUCAUACACACCACAUACAAUUGUUGUGCACAUUCUAUUUGUGUGAGAGAGGAACUAGAACUUUUGCCUGUGAAAUUGUUGUGCACAUUCUAUUCUUUUGCCUGUGAAAUUUGAUUACUCUUGAUAUCUGCUAUGAUCAAUCAACGCAAACUUGGUAUUUUGUAGUUUUAUUCCCUCAGAGUUUUUUUAACUUUAUCCUCAUAGUCUUUCUAAUAGUUAAGUAUACUUGUACAAGACUUAAGCUCAAUCAAUUAUGAAACCAAAUCAAUGAAAUGCAUUUAUGCUUCAAAGAAAGGUUAUUCCAAGAGUAUCAUGUGGAUAAAAUGAAGAUAUUGUGUGGGUAGUUGCAGGUCUAUUUUUGACUUUGACAUUAUCGAUAAAUAUAUAUUAAAAAGUUUUUGAUUAAAACUUUAAGUACUUUUUGGAUUAAAACUUUAAGCACUCCAUUUUCAGGUUAACUACUAAUCACGUGGUCUCUGUGAACCAACCAGCAAACGGGAUCGUUUCUCAAGCAUAAUGGGGGCCAAUCACAGCCGUGAAGACCUGGAUCUCUCAGACUCCGACUCCGACUCCGAAUCACAAACCCCAGAAGCCCACCGAGAGGAAGACGAAGACAACUUCGAAGACGCUAAAACGCCGUCGUCCUUCGAGCCCAAAACCCCAUCUUCUUUGGAUCAUGUUGAAGCCAAGCUCAAAGCUCUCAAGCUCAAGUACAACAACGACAACUCUAGCAAAGUGUCCGACCCGACCCGUAAGAACGCCGUCAAACUCUUCAUCCACGUCGGCGGCAACACGUCUAAUUCCAAAUGGGCUGUCGCUGAAAAAUCUGCCACUUAUUGCUUUGUCAAAACCCACAGUGAAAAUGGCUCGGACGAAGAAGAGGAUGAAGAAUGCGAAGAGAAUUCCUGGUGGAUUUUGAAAAUUGGGUCAAAAAUCCGGGUCAAGAUUGAUCAGAAUUUGCAAUUGAAGGCGAUUAAGGAUCAGAGGCGGGUUGACUUUGUGGCUAAUGGGGUUUGGGCUGUGAAGUUUUAUAGUGAAGAAGAUUAUAACUCAUUUUUUGACAAAUUUCAAGACUAUUUGUUCGAGAAUACUUAUGGGUACGAAGCUAAUGAUGAGAAUAAGGUUAAGGUUUAUGGGAAGGAUUUUAUCGGUUGGGCAAAGCCUGAAAAAGCUGAUGAUUCGAUGUGGGAUGACGCAGAAGAUAGUUUCUUUAAGACCCCUCAAUCAGCUUUGAAAACUCCAUUGAGGGAUAGAAAUGAUUUGACAGAGGAGUUUGAGGAGGCAGCUCCCAAUUGUGGGGCUAUUCAGAGUUUGGCAUUGGGUGCUUUGGAUAAUAGUUUCUUAGUGAGCGAUACGGGGGUUCAGGUCGUGAGGAAUUAUAGUCAUGGGAUUCAAGGAAAAGGGGUCUAUGUGAAUUUUGACAAUGGAAGGUCUAAUGGGAGCUUUUCAAAUGGUAUAGCUCAUUCAACCCCUAGGAAAGCUGUGCUAAUGAGAGCUGAAACUAAUAUGCUUCUCAUGAGUCCAAUGACUGAUGGUAAGCCUCAUACAAGAGGGUUACAUCAGUUGGAUAUUGAGACAGGAAAGAUUGUCACUGAGUGGAAGUUUGGGAAGGAUGGAACUGAUAUCACAAUGAGGGACAUUACUAAUGAUAGUAAAGGAGCUCAAAUGGAUCCCACUGGCUCUACUUUUUUGGGAUUGGACGAUAACAGAUUGUGUAGGUGGGAUAUGCGUGAUCGAAAUGGUAUGGUGCAGAAUCUUGCAAAUGAAAGUACACCUGUAUUGAACUGGGCUCAAGGGCAUCAGUUUUCGAGAGGGACUAAUUUUAACUGCUUUGCAAGUACUGGUGAUGGAUCAAUCGUGGUUGGAUCACUUGAUGGGAAGAUUAGACUGUACUCUAU
rnacentral:lncRNA from 1 species